rnacentral:tRNA from 1 species
GGGGUUGUGGCUCAGUGGUAGAGUACUUGCCUGGCAUGUAUGAGGCACUGGGCUCGAUCCUCAGCACCACA